UACCACUAGUGGUCGCGCCUGGCA
rnacentral:miRNA from 1 species